rnacentral:rRNA from 1 species
AACGGGGGGGGCGAGUGUUACUCAACAUUACUGGGCGUAAAGGGCACGUAGAUGGUUUCUUAAGUUUAAAGUUAAAUUUUUUGAAAUAGCUUUAAAUACUAGUAAACUUAGAGUUCAAUAGAGGAUAGCAGUACUAUUGGAGUAGAGGUAAAAUUCGGUGAUAUCAAUAGGACUAUCGUAGGCGAAGGCAGCUAUCUGGUUUGAGACUGACAUUGAGGUGCAAAAGCGUAGGGAGCCAACAGG